GACGAACGCUGGCGGCGUGCCUAAUACAUGCAAGUAGAACGCACAGUUUAUACCGUAGCUUGCUACACCAUAGACUGUGAGUUGCGAACGGGUGAGUAACGCGUAGGUAACCUGCCUGGUAGCGGGGGAUAACUAUUGGAAACGAUAGCUAAUACCGCAUAAUAUUAAUUAUUGCAUGAUAAUUAAUUGAAAGGUGCAAUUGCAUCACUACCAGAUGGACCUGCGUUGUAUUAGCUAGUAGGUGAGGUAACGGCUCACCUAGGCGACGAUACAUAGCCGACCUGAGAGGGUGAUCGGCCACACUGGGACUGAGACACGGCCCAGACUCCUACGGGAGGCAGCAGUAGGGAAUCUUCGGCAAUGGACGAAAGUCUGACCGAGCAACGCCGCGUGAGUGAAGAAGGUUGUCGGAUCGUAAAGCUCUGUUGUAAGAGAAGAACGGGUGUGAGAGUGGAAAGUUCACACUGUGACGGUAUCUUACCAGAAAGGGACGGCUAACUACGUG
rnacentral:rRNA from 1 species